GACGAACGCUGGCGGCGUGCCUAAUACAUGCAAGACGAGCGAACGGCGAAGAAGCUUGCUUCUUCAAUGUUAGCGGCGGACGGGUGAGUAACACGUGGGCAAUCUGCCCGUAAGACUGGGAUAACUCCGGGAAACCGGGGCUAAUACCGGAUAACACUUUUCAUCUCCUGGUGGAAAGUUGAAAGAUGGUUUCGGCUAUCACUUACGGAUGAGCCCGCGGCGCAUUAGCUAGUUGGUGAGGUAACGGCUCACCAAGGCGACGAUGCGUAGCCGACCUGAGAGGGUGAUCGGCCACACUGGGACUGAGACACGGCCCAGACUACUACGGGAGGCAGCAGUAGGGAAUCUUCCGCAAUGGACGAAAGUCUGACGGAGCAACGCCGCGUGAGUGAAGAAGGUUUUCGGAUCGUAAAACUCUGUUGUUAGGGAAGAACACGUACGAGAGUAGCUGCUCGUACCUUGACGGUACCUAACCAGAAAGCCACGGCUAACUACGUGCCAGCCGCCGCUGUAA
rnacentral:rRNA from 1 species